rnacentral:lncRNA from 1 species
CUCCAUUCUCUUCUCAAUAUUAUUCUAUAUCUCAUCUCCAUUCUUCACCCACUCUUUUCAUAAUAAAUUCAAAUGCUUGAUCCAACAUCAAGUACCUUUUUCAAGAUCAUUUUCAUAACAAAUUGAAAUACCAAAUGGGAUGUACGUGUUUGUACACAACAUUCAAGUAAUUGGAUUUUCGGUCGUACCUAGCCUGAGGACCCGACACUUGAC